rnacentral:rRNA from 1 species
GUGACAGCCGCCGCGGUAAAACGUAGGUGGCAAGCGUUAUCCGGAUUUACUGGGCGUAAAGCGUGUGCAGGCGGAUGGCCAAGUGAGGUAUGAAAUCCCGGUGCUUAACAGCGGGAUGGUACCUCAGACUGGUGAUCUGGAGUCUGAGAGAGGGAUGUGGAAUUCCGGGUGUAGUGGUGAAAUGCGUAGAGAUCCGGAGGAACACCAGAGGCGAAAGCGGCAUCCUGGCUCAGCACUGACGCUCAGACACGACAGCAUGGGGAGCGAACAGGAUUAGAUACCCUCGUAGUCC